CAAGCGUGGAGCAUGUGGUUUAAUUCGACGCAACGCGAAGAACCUUACCAGGGCUUGACAUCCCCUGACCGCGUAUGAAGUACGUUUUCACCUCGGGUGACAGGGAGACAGGUGGUGCAUGGUUGUCGUCAGCUCGUGUCGUGAGAUGUUGGGUUAAGUCCCGCAACGAGCGCAACCCCUGUGGUUAGUUGCCAGCAAGUAGCGUUGGGCACUCUAGCCAGACUGCCGGUGAUAAAUCGGAGGAAGGUGGGGACGACGUCAAAUCAUCAUGCCCUUUAUGUCCUGGGCUACACACGUACUACAAUGGCCGUUACAACGGGAAGCGAAGGAGCAAUCCGGAGCAAAUCCCUUAAAGGCGGUCCCAGUUCAGAUUGUGGGCUGAAACUCGCCCACAUGAAGGCGGAAUUGCUAGUAAUUGCAGAUCAGCAUGCUGCAGUGAAUACGUUCCCGGGCCUU
rnacentral:rRNA from 1 species